UGUAAAUUCUCACAUGACCAGAGCUGUUUACUUCCUGGUUGCACCAUGAGAAAAGGAUGGCUGCGUCAACGCUCCCAAACAAAAGUUUCACUUUGAGUCAAGUUCUGGAUAUGUUGGAUCUAGGUGACUGCCCAGACAAGGCAUGCAACAUUGCAGUUAUCCCUCAAAAUGAGAAAGAUGCUGUCCUGAGUGAUUGUGAUAGCAAUGAGUCAGAUAUGGACUAUGGACAGGCCAUUUGCCAGUCAGGCUGUUGAAUGCAUAUGCUGAACCUAUGCAAACAGAUCAUGACAGGAACAACGUUAUCAGUGAUGAUGACCUACCCCCACCCCAUCCACAACCUCCCCCACUCCUCUCCAUUGUUGAUAAUGAAGAGCCAAGGAUGGCUAUACCUGCCAGAGGGUCCAGUCAGAAGAGCCAAGGGAAAAUCUGCGGGUGGUCAAAAAUAAAGAUUUGAGUGUUCAAACAAUCGAAGAGGCCUGCCACCGAUGUGAUUCCAAAACACAUAGUAUACAGCCCAAAUAUGCGAAAGUUUGGUAUGAAAGCACUGAGCCACGGAAGGAGAUCUUUCCUGGCUGCUACUGUUGAAGACCAGGCAAGAUAUGACAAAGCUUCUCAUUGGCCAAUCAACACAAUGCACCGGUUCCAGAGAUGUCGUCAUUGUGACAAAUGCACUACCUAUGCAUGUGAGAAAUGCAAAGCGCCACUGCACAUUGAGUGCUUCAAGAUAUACCAUGGACAAUAGAAAAGGAGAUAAGAGCGAAUGAAAAAGACAAUAAAAUAAAAGUCGAUAAAGGGUGAGGAGAAGCAGUACAACGGACUCUAGGAAGAAAAGAAAAGUUGACGAUCAAGACAAUCAAAAUGACUGAAAUGUUUUUGGAAAAGAAGAUCAAUUGAUUCAAGACGGUACUGUGGUCUGACUGAUCGCAGUUCAAAAUAGUGAUGCACAAACUAAUCUUGCACUUGGUUCUUACAAUUGUGUGUAUAUAUAUAUAUAUAUAUAUAUACACAAUUGUAUUUUGUUCAGUGUAGGCCUUUACUUGAAUGCAUAUUCUACAGGCUACCUCUAUCCUAAAUGUUACUUUUAUGUUCAGUGGGAAUGAAUCACAUGACUGCUAUACAGUUGUUAGUGAAUGUUGCACUAAAAUGUCACAAUGACAAUGUUACAAUGAAUAUUGCACUAAAGUACAAGUUCAAAUGUUACAAUAAAGUUACAAUAUUAAUGUU